rnacentral:rRNA from 1 species
CCAAUAGCGUAUAUUAAAGUUGUUGCAGUUAAAAAGCUCGUAGUUGAAUUUCGGGAUCAAUACGUCGGUCGUGCUUCGGUACGUACUGGCGUCAUUGAUUUCUCCCUUCUGACGGACCAUGAUGUCAUUAACUUGGUGUCAUGGGAAAUCAGGACUGUUACUUGGAAAAAAUUAGAGUGUUUAAAGCAGGCUCACGCUUGAAUACAUUAGCAUGGAAUAAUGAAUUAGGAGGUUCGAUCCUAUUUUGUUGGUUUUUAGGAUCAACGUAAUGAUUAAUAGGGAUAGUUGGGGGCAUUAGUAUUCAAUUGUCAGAGGUGAAAUUCUUGGAUUUAUUGAAGACUAACUACUGCGAAAGCAUUUGCCAAGGAUGUUUUCAUUAAUCAAGAACGAAAGUUAGGGGAUCGAAGACGAUCAGAUACCGUCGUAGUCUUAACCAUAAACUAUGCCGACUAGGGAUCGGAUGAUGUUAAUUUUUUAAUGACUCAUUCGGCGCCUUACG